CGGCCUCCACGCUGGCCUUCCGCGCCUUUCCUCCCUGCCCAUCGAAUCUUCCGCUCUGACGACAGAGUGCUCUUUUCCUGUUAAAAAUCCUUUACGAUACCCUUUGCCUUCCCGGCAAGGUCUGAACUUCUCGGCGUGUCGCAUAGCACCUGGGGCCACCAUCCCCUCUGUGCCCGUGGCUCCUGCCUGCACGGCCAGCUCCUCGCCAGUAACCGAAAGCCCCCCUCCCAGAGAGGCUCUUUCUCACCUUCCGGCCAGCAUCGCUUCCCCGGGAGCCUUUCUGGACCCCUAUCCCCCAAGACAGCCAGCUCUCCAGCCUCCCAGAGUGCUUGCCAACCCCUCUGAUAACAUAACACUCACGAUAAACCUGGUUAACAUUUAUUCAGAGCGCUGCUGAGUGCCAGACACGUCGCUUUGCACACAUCCUCUCUCUGAAUCCUCCUGGCAAGCCUAAGAGGUCCCUGAACUGUACUUAUUCCCAGUUUACUGGCGAGGAAACCGAGACUUGGAACAUCAUGUAACUUCCCCAAGGCCACUCAGCCAGAAAGCAGAAGAGUCUAGAACCCAGAUGUUUGGAAAGAAAACUCCUUAGUCAGCAGCCCUGGAAAGCUUCACAUUUAGAGAAAUCUAGACUCUUCUUUCCCACCCCAAGUUUCUUUGGUUUUGCGGCUGGAACCUAACAUCUGUGAAGCAGGCAGGACCUCAUGGGCCCUGUGUCACCAGACACCUGUUGACAGGAUGCCUUCAGGGGUAGAAAAUCUGGGCAGAGCCCAGCAGUGACAACUGGUAUUUAUCCAAUAUCAGCUUCCACCCACCAGGAGAUGGAUGGGCAACUGGCCCCAAGAGAGGAGCAAAGACGAGAAACGGCCAUCCGUCCUAACUCGGAUGCUGGUGGGGACACACCAGGAAUCCCUUUCCCGAAUGAAUGACAGGAGAGCCAAAGGUGCUUGAAGACAUGACGAUUUUCCCAGCUUAAGUGGAGCAUCUGCCACCGUGGUACCUCCAUGGAGCUGACCUCUGAGGAAAGGGUCCUUCCGGGUCCUUCCAGGCACUUUCAUAAAAGGCGACACUUGUCAGUGUGCCCAACUUUCAGUUACCUUGUGGUGUGCUUCUGAAGGAUUGCAAAAGAAGGGGAAGAGCCAUUAUUUUAAAUAAUCAUUUCAACAUGGAGCUUGGUGGGGAACAAAGAACGUACUUGGAGUUGCAGCUCGUGGGCCCUAGUGGCGCUUGGCUUUCCUCGUAGCUGCCCCCAAGCAUCACCAACCCACCACAGAGGAAGCCUGAGCCCUCGAGGGCCACAGACGACGUGGCUUGAACAUCGCUCCUAGGGGAGAAACAGGAAAGAGGCAACCAGAGUUUGAAUCCCGGCACUGCCACCUCAUAAGUGUGAGACUAUGAACCAGGCUGUAAGACGGGAUAGGAGUUAACGAAAAAGACACCAAAACAGGCUUCUUAGGAGAAUUAAAGAGAGAACUUGUGUUAAACACUUAGUGUGACAUUUGGAAAUACUAAAUGCUCGUCCUGGGAGCACAUUUGUGAGGCCUCAAAGCUGAAAGCUACUAGACUUUCUGCUCAGGAGCUCUCAGCCCAGUGCCAGCCACAUCCCUGGACCAGGCCACGGCCAAGCAAGACUUCAGCCUCCAGUGCGAGACAGGCCUUUCCCACAUUGUUGGGCUGAAGGAAGUGAAGUCUUCAACGAAGACAGUGAAACAGCUGAGGGAGGCGGAGCUGGGGGAGAAGAGGAGGAUCCAGAGGUCUGAGGGGUCCCCAUCACAGUGAAGAGCCCAGGCUUUGAAGUCUUGGCUCCAUCUCUGCUUAGCUAUGUGAUCUCGGGUCAGAUCCAUGCCCCCUCUAAGCCUCAGUGUGCACAGCUGUAAA
rnacentral:lncRNA from 1 species